UACGUAGGUGGCAAGCGUUGUCCGGAAUUAUUGGGCGUAAAGCGCGCGCAGGCGGUCUCUUAAGUCUGAUGUGAAAGCCCACGGCUCAACCGUGGAGGGUCAUUGGAAACUGGGGGACUUGAGUACUGGAGAGGAGAGUGGAAUUCCAUGUGUAGCGGUGAAAUGCGUAGAUAUAUGGAGGAACACCAGUGGCGAAGGCGGCUCUCUGGCCAGUAACUGACGCUGAGGCGCGAAAGCGUGGGGAGCAAACAGGAUUAGAUACCCUGGUAGUCCACGCCGUAAACGAUGAGUGCUAGGUGUUGGGGGGUUCCACCCUCAGUGCUGACGUUAACACAUUAAGCACUCCGCCUGGGGAGUACGACCGCAAGGUUGAA
rnacentral:rRNA from 1 species